CAGGUUUAACAGUCUGGAAGAGAUGCCCUCUGACUAUCUGCUCUGGUGGAUCAUCUGUCCACCCAUACAUCCAAGCUUCAGAUGUCAGUCCUCACCUUUAAGCAGGAAAAUUUCCUCAGUCUGGUUCAGAGCCUGGUCACACAGUUUUGCUGGCAGAAAUGAGUGGAAAGAGCACUUUGGCAUGGAGGGGAAAUGAGCAACAGAAGGUGAAAGGUGUCUUGGCAGACACUUCCAAUCUGUGUCCUUAUCUCACAGUUUCCAGCCAUCUUCAAAGACUUUUCCAGCUUCUUGUGUUUUGCAAGUUCAAAAUCCUGCAGCAUCCUGGUACUGAAAAUGUGGGAACGAACAAAAUAAUUCGAGCUGAAUGACAGUGUAAGUAUCAGUUGUCACUUCAAGGAAUGUAUCUUUCAUUUCCGUAAUGAGUUUGUUGAGAAAGAUCCCAUUUUAAUAUAAAUGAAAGCAGAAUUUCAUGGUGACUUUGUCAAAUCUAGAAGAUGUUGUCAUUUAAAUCCAGUUUGCCACGGAACAUAAAGAUCAUUUGCUCUAUACCACAUCAAACCAUCUAAAUACAGAGGUACGCUGAAGAAUAUGGUGAGGUACCUGGAAAAAAAAAAAAUCUAUGAAAAGAACAAACUUUCAAGGCACUAGAAAGUGGAAAACUAAUCUCAUUGA